rnacentral:tRNA from 1 species
GGGCGCGUAGCUCAGUGGUAGAGCACCUCGUUUACACCGAGGGGGUCGUGGGUUCGAUACCUACCGCGCCCA